AACUCACCUGCUGAAGACCAGGCAGCCCAGGUGGUUGAUCUUGUGGUCGGAGCGGUGGCGGCUGUAGUCCUCCCACAGGUCCCUGAAGGCCGUGAUGGCCAGGAUGAAGAGCACCGGCGCCAGUGCCAGGCCGGGCUGGAAGGCGUUCACCGCCGGCACGAAGUUGAGCAGCGCGAUGAAGACAAAGUACACGUUGGCCGGGCGGUGGAACUGCUCGAACAGGUUCUUGGGCAGGAAGGACAGCAGCGUGUACUUGGUAGUCUUGAGCCGGUUGUCGGCCAGGUGCUGGGCACACCCGCGCCGCCGUCGCCGCUCGCCCUUGGCCGCGCCAGCCGCAGGGUCCUC
rnacentral:lncRNA from 1 species